CUUUUAAAUGAACUUUCUAUCUGCCAUUAUUUCUGAGUUAUGGCUGACAUAGCUCGCACUUAAAACGCUAUCUAGCUCCAAAUGAUCGAUUCUUGGGGAAAACCAUCAAACACGUUGUCGACUAGAAAGUGAAACUCUACAACUUUGUCUUUUAAACGAACUUUCCGAUAUCUCCAGUAUUUU